rnacentral:rRNA from 1 species
GACGAACGCUGGCGGCGUGCUUAACGCAUGCAAGUCGAACGGAAAGGCUCCAGCUUGCUGGAGUACUCGAAUGGCGGACGGGUGAGUAACACGUGGGUAAUCUGCCCUGCACUCUGGGAUAAGCCUGGGAAACUGGGUCUAAUACUGGAUAUGACCUUUCUCCUUAUGGGGUUUGGUGACAGUUUUUCGGUGUAGGAUGGGCCCGCGGCCUAUCAGCUUGUUGGUGGGGUGAUGGCCUACCAAGGCGACGACGGGUAGCCGGCCUGAGAGGGUGAUCGGCCACAUUGGGACUGAGAUACGGCCCAGACUCCUACGGGAGGCAGCAGUGGGGAAUAUUGCACAAUGGGCGGAAGCCUGAUGCAGCGACGCCGCGUGAGGGAUGACGGCCUUCGGGUUGUAAACCUCUUUCAGCAGGGACGAAGCGUAAGUGACGGUACCUGCAGAAGAAGCACCGGCUAACUAUGUGCCAGCCGCCGCCGUAA